GGAAUACCCGCUGAACUUAAGCAUA
rnacentral:rRNA from 2 species